AGAGUUUGAUCCUGGCUCAGGAUAAACGCUGGCGGUAGACAUAACACAUGCAAGUCGAACGGAGUGCUUCGGCACUUAGUGGCGGACGGGUGAGUAACACGUGAGAAUCUGCCUUUAGGACGGGGACAACGACUGGAAACGGUCGCUAAUACCCGAUAUGCCUUUUCAGUGAAAAGGAGAAAUCCGCCUGAAGAUGAGCUCGCGUCCGAGUAGCUAGUUGGUGGGGUAAUGGCCUACCAAGGCUGCGAUCGGUAGCUGGUCUGAGAGGAUGAUCAGCCACACUGGGACUGAGACACGGCCCAGACUCCUACGGGAGGCAGCAGUGAGGAAUUUUCCGCAAUGGGCGCAAGCCUGACGGAGUCAUACCGCGUGCGGGACGACGCUCUAGGGAGUGUAAACCGCUUUUGACAGGGAAGAAUCCAUGACGGUACCUGUCGAAUCAGCCUCGGCUAACUCCGUGCCACCAGCCGCGGUAAUACGGAGGAGGCAAGCGUUAUCCGGAAUUAUUGGGCGUAAAGGGUUUGUAGAUGGUUGGAUGUGUCUGCUGUUAAAGCCAAUAGCUCAACUAUUGAGGUGCAGCGGAAACUAUUCGACUAGAGGACAGUAGGGGCAGAGGGAAUUCCCAGUGUAGCGGUGAAAUGCGUAGAUAUUGGGAAGAACACCGGUGGCGAAAGCGCUCUGCUAGGCUGUACCUGACAUUGAUGAACGAAAGCUAGGGGAGCGAAAGGGAUUAGAUACCCCUGUAGUCCUAGCUGUAAACGAUGGAUACUCGAUGUGGCGGGUAUUGACCCCCGCCGUGUCUAAGCUAACGCGAUAAGUAUCCCGCCUGGGGAGUACGCACGCAAGUGUGAAACUCAAAGGAAUUGACGGGGACCCGCACAAGCGGUGGAGUAUGUGGUUUAAUUCGAUGCAACGCGAAGAACCUUACCAGGGUUUGACAUGUCCGGAACCCUCUUGAAAGAGAGGGGUGCCUUCGGGAACCGGAACACAGGUGGUGCAUGGCUGUCGUCAGCUCGUGUCGUGAGAUGUCGGGUUAAGUCCCGCAACGAGCGCAACCCUCGUUCUUAGUUGCCAGCAUUUAGUUGGGCACUCUAGGGAGACUGCCGGUGACAAACCGGAGGAAGGUGGGGAUGACGUCAAGUCAGCAUGCCCCUUACGCUCUGGGCUACACACGUACUACAAUGCUUCGGACAAAGGGCUGCCAACUCGCGAGAGUGCGCUAAUCCCAUAAACCGAGGCUCAGUUCAGAUUGCAGGCUGCAACUCGCCUGCAUGAAGGCGGAAUCGCUAGUAAUCGCAGGUCAGCAUACUGCGGUGAAUACGUUCCCGGGUCUUGUACACACCGCCCGUCACACCAUGGGAGUUGGCCACGCCCGAAGUCGUUAUCCUAACCUAUAUGGAGGGAGACGCCGAAGGCAGGGCUGAUGACUGGGGUGAAGUCGUAACAAGGUAGCCGUACCGGAAGGUGUGGCUGGAUCGCCUCCUUUUUAGGGAGACCUACCCACUCUGAUUGCUGAACGCACAGUGUCAUUAAGCAAAGAGUUGGUCAUCCCAAGGUCAAUCGAGUUUGGUGCUAGCUUUCAAACUAUCCUAGGUUUCUUUUUUUGCUAAAUUUCACCAUCCUGGUGAACAUCUUUACAGCAAUUUCUUAAUUGACUCGACAAAAAUCCUGGAAUUCGCUAAAGUAAUUUUUGCGAUAAUUUUUAGAGUCUAUUUGUUCUUUUGUUAGAACAAUUCUGGGAACGCUCAAAAAAUUUCAAAAAGAAGGUGCAUCUAACGAUUUAAGAUGCGAGCGCGAUCACGCAAGUGCAUUAAAAGAAUACACAACAGAUAACACUCAAAUCAACACAACUGAUUUCCCUUAAAUCACUAUUCAAUCCUUAGAGCGAACAAUUUCAGCAACUAAUUUAGGAAAGGCUAAAUAGACUGCUGGGAUUAGAGCCAGCGAGAACCUAGAAAACUGCAUAGCAAGAAACUUGUCAGGUAGAACAUCAAGGCUUGCCUUGAUGAGAACAGACACCAAUGAAAUUUUGUGGUCAAGCUACAAAGAGCUAACGGUGGAUACCUAGGCACACAGAGGCGAAG
rnacentral:rRNA from 1 species